AUGGUCUUGGCCAGAUUUGCAAAGAUGUCUUGCUACCUGCGAUGCAAGCAGCAACUCUGCAAGUUACUCCGACAGGCUAACAAAAUCACAGGGAAAUCUAAAUCUAUUCAAGAGAGAAGGAAAGAAACAGAGCAUAUAAUGUGGGACAGUGAUUUCUUGGGAAGGAGUGAUGGCUGUGAUCUGCAUUUAAGACAUGCUUGUGUUGGCCUGCAGAGGACAGAGAAGCAACUCAUAUCACUCAUCAGAAAUUCCUGCCAAGCUCUAUACAUCUGACAGCUGUGAAGAGAAUCAUCAGAGAAGGAGGGCCCUGCCUUCAGUGUAAAAGGUCUCAGGGAAAGGAGUAGUUAGAGACUGUCUCCUCUCAGAAGACCUAACCUAAUCACAACACUGGUGCCUCUUUAGACCCCUACAGUGGCAUCUAAGGGGCUCGUGGAGGGGAUUAUGGGCAACUCCUCAACACAAUGCGCAAGAGGAAGAGCAGUAUAGCAACAGGAGCCCUGGCCCCUGCUGUGAGACCUAACCAGGGCUAGCAGCAGCUAUCAAACUCUCUGCAAGGGGGCGCAGCAGGAGAAUGGCAACGGCUCUUAAGCCCUCCACAGGACAUUAGAGAUGAGUACUAAAAAGUACUAGAAAAUCACACAGGAGUACUUAAAUAUUACUUGAUCAUUAACAUAGUAAUUACAUCAGUGCUGCUCCUGCCUGAUGCCAUAAUUUAAGAGGAUUCAGCAUUUUCAUUUUAAUCAGUAGCAGUUAUUUCCUGUGGUUCAUUGCCCAUAAAAUGUUCACCAUGAGAAAAAAGGGGAAGAGACUUUGCCAGGAUGUCAAUUAACAUCCACCAUGGACUUGUGCGUCCCUGAGCUGCAAAUCACUCUGGUGGGUGCUUCAUCAGGCUUCAGGGGGGCCACACAGGGCACAUUUCUUCCUGAAAGCUUU
rnacentral:lncRNA from 1 species